UACGUAGGGCGCAAGCGUUAUCCGGAAUUAUUGGGCGUAAAGAGCUCGUAGGCGGUUUGUCGCGUCUGCCGUGAAAGUCCGGGGCUCAACUCCGGAUCUGCGGUGGGUACGGGCAGACUAGAGUGAUGUAGGGGAGACUGGAAUUCCUGGUGUAGCGGUGAAAUGCGUUGAUAUCAGGAGGAACACCCAUGGCGAAGGCAGCAAACUGGUCAUCAACUGACGCUGAGGCGCGAAAGCGUGGGUAGCAAACAGG
rnacentral:rRNA from 1 species